rnacentral:rRNA from 1 species
AUUGAACGCUGGCGGCAUGCCUAACACAUGCAAGUCGAACGAGUGGCGGACGGGUGAGUAAUGUCUGGGAAACUGCCUGAUGGAGGGGGAUAACUACUGGAAACGGUAGCUAAUACCGCAUACCAUCAGCUGUGCCCAGCUGGGAUUAGCUAGUUGGUGGGGUAACGGCUCACCAAGGCGACGAUCCAUAGCUGGUCUGAGAGGAUGACCAGCCACACUGGAACUGAGACACGGUCCAGACUCCUACGGGAGGCAGCAGUGGGGAAUAUUGCACAAUGGGCGAAAGCCUGAUGCAGCCAUGCCGCGUGUGUGAAGAAGGCCUUCGGGUUGUAAAGUACUUUCAGCAGGGAGGCGGUACCCGCAGAAGAAGCACCGGCUAACUCCGUGCCAGCAGCCGCGGUAAUAC